UACGUAGGAUGCAAGCGUUGUCCGGAAUUAUUGGGCGUAAAGAGCGCGCAGGCGGUAUGACAAGUCAGAUGUGAAAGAGGCCGGCUUAACCGGCAAGGGUCAUUUGAAACUGUCAGACUAGAGUGCAGCAGAGGAUAGUGGAAUUCCCGGUGUAGUGGUGAAAAUGCGUAGAUAUCGGGAGGAACACCAGUGGCGAAGGCGACUAUCUGGGCUGCAACUGACGCUGAGGCGCGAAGGCUAGGGGUAGCAAACAGG
rnacentral:rRNA from 1 species